UGUGUGUGUGUGUAUCAUCCUCAUCAUUUAAGGUCUGUCUUCCAUACUAGCACGGGUUUCAUGGUUUGACAGGAACUGGCAAACCAGAAGACUGCA